CCCCCACCGCUGCGUCUCCCAGCUGAGUCUGUCCAUCAAACCGAACCGCCAGUCAUUAUCAAGCCUGCGGACCCUUGACUUGUGUGCUUUUUCUAGCUGUUUCCAGCACUGCUUUCGAGACGGAUUUCCAGCGUCCAAAAUGGGGUCAUUCUGGACAUCCAGCCUUGACAAAGUGUUCAGAAACAUUGCUGCCAAUGGAAUCCAACAUGUUUUGAAAUCAUGCACACCAGACGACGCAUCCAGUCAGAUCCCCAAUGUGUUAAAGUCAAAAUAAUGUCCCGUUUCCCUCCCCCCCGUUUACAGCACUCAAGUGUUUCCCAAACAGGGUAGUAUGUCCCACCUCUUCUAGCCUCGGGAUAUUUAUAGCUGAGUCUUGUGUUAACUCAGCUGCCAUGCUCAUCUCUGUGAGUGUGUGUGUGUGUGUGUGUCCUGCCACUCUAUUUCAGAUUGCAGCUUCACCCUCUCAGUGACAGUGAGACUGUGUACCUUGCUUUUGGCCUCUUAGUUUUUCCCCGGAGUUUCACGCAUACAUUUCUCUCAUUGGAUAUAUUCUUCCACUCCAUCGAGGAACCAUCACAAGGUCCACAGUGUCACUGUUUCCAUUUUUUGCUCCACGUUGUGUCCUCGCUCACAUCUCUCCACCUGGCUGAGAUCUCCCUGGCUGACCUUUCACCCCUCGUCCCACCAUGGCUCUCUCCUCACGCUUAAAACUCUGGGAACAGAAGGGAGGUGCAGGCCUGGAGCUCAACUCAACUAACCCGAGUGCUGCUCGACUCGCCGUUUAUUAACCAGCACCACUCCACCGUUUAAUCACUCUUCUUUCACUCAGUCUCACACAGACCACACACUGACAUUAUCUUUAAUAUGAAAGUCUCUGUAAAGUAAUGCAGGUCACUUUGGCAGAUAUUAGACAUACAAGAACAGCAUCUGUAAAAGAGGAAAGACGGAAAUCUGUUCUUGUCAAUAUUACAUUUUAACUACAUCAUCAAAUCGAACAACAAUAGUAUCAAAUGUUGCUUCUCCUGUCCUAGGAUAAAUAAAACACAUGAAGUUCCUUAGAUUACAAAUCUAAAUAUUGAAAAAAAACAUCUUUAAAGUUGUCCAAAUGAAGUUCUUAACAAUGCAUAUUACUAAUCAAAAAUUAACUUUUGAUAUAUUUAUGGUAGGAAAUUU
rnacentral:lncRNA from 1 species